AUGCAAGUCGAGCGGCAGCGGGAAGUAGCUUGCUACUUUGCCGGCGAGCGGCGGACGGGUGAGUAAUGUCUGGGAAACUGCCUGAUGGAGGGGGAUAACUACUGGAAACGGUAGCUAAUACCGCAUGACCUCGCAAGAGCAAAGUGGGGGACCUUCGGGCCUCACGCCAUCGGAUGUGCCCAGAUGGGAUUAGCUAGUAGGUGGGGUAAUGGCUCACCUAGGCGACGAUCCCUAGCUGGUCUGAGAGGAUGACCAGCCACACUGGAACUGAGACACGGUCCAGACUCCUACGGGAGGCAGCAGUGGGGAAUAUUGCACAAUGGGCGCAAGCCUGAUGCAGCCAUGCCGCGUGUGUGAAGAAGGCCUUAGGGUUGUAAAGCACUUUCAGCGAGGAGGAAGGGUUCAGUGUUAAUAGCACUGUGCAUUGACGUUACUCGCAGAAGAAGCACCGGCUAACUCCG
rnacentral:rRNA from 1 species